GCCACCCAAGUUGGCUCAACGGGUCUGUGCGUCUGGCUGUUAAGCAAAAGGUUGGUGGUUCGAUCCCGCCCAGGGGACA